NNAAGCGUGCUUGGGCGAGAGUAGUACUAGGAUGGGUGACCUCCUGGGAAGUCCUCGUGUUGCAUUCC
rnacentral:rRNA from 1 species